CGAAACGGGGAAGUCACUCCCUCUCUCCUCCCUCCGCCAAGGUCUGAACUCCAGCGUUUCUGCCUGCGUGUGUCGCUGCCGGCCGGAUUCAAGGCUUUGCAGCUGAGAUUCGACGGGCGGGUGGUACUGGUCACCGGCGUGGGGUGAAUGAUUUAGGAGGGGUCCACAGGGGAAUUGGUCAAGGCUCUUCAGCUGCUGAUAAAGUUGUUGCAGAAAUAAGAAGAAAAGGCGGAAAAGCGGUAGCCAACUAUGAUUCAGUGGAAGCAGGAGAGAAGAUUGGGAAGAGAGCCCUGGAUGCUUCUGAGAGAAUAGGUGAUGUUUCUAUGCAUUUAUGGCACUAACAGAAGCUUCUCCCUUCCUAAUAAAAUAUUUUUUAUUUUACUUUUAUUAAAAACUCCCUCUUUCUUGAUAAUGAAGUUUUUAGAUUUGUUUUAUAAAUUAAGUAGUUUACAUACCCUACCUUAUUCCACAGAGGGUUCGAGAUGACAGUUUUUAGG